ACCAUCUUCAAAUCGUCACUCAAAGAAAGUCUAAAUAAAACAGAUUUCCUACUAAUUAAGAAGCCCCAAAUUAUUACAAUAAAGCUAGCAAUAAAUGGCUCUUGCUAUGUCUAACAACAAAGUGGCCGUGCUUCUUGUGUUCUGUCUUUUCCUCAUCAUCUCCUCCACUGAAAGCAGACAACUCGGCACUGGGAAUGGCAAACCGAGCUGCGACUUUACUUAUGCAGUAAAACCUGCUGAUACUUGCGCUGAUGUGAUUGAAGAUUUCGCUCUGGAUUCGGACUUCUUCUUUUCAAUCAAUCCUAACAUCAACUGCGACGCUCUCUUUGUCGAUCAAUGGCUAUGUGUCAGUGGGUCAGCAUAGUAUGCUGCUGCAGCUUGCAGGCGGACUCGAGUUCAAGGAUUCAAGCAAAGAGUUAAAUUAAAACCGAGUAAUACAUAGAACAAAGGAUCUUCGUAACAUUCUUAGAGGACAUUGUUCUUGCUGUUAUGUUAUUUGAGUAUGGAAUAAUACGGUUGACAGUGUUAGCAUGUCAAGAUUGUUAACCAAGUCAGUACGCAACAAUGUAGCUCAUUCAGUUGUUUACGUUUUCUCUCGCUUUCUCUCAUCUUCUUCUUCCUUCGUUCUUCUUGUUCAAUAAUUCUGCUUCCAGACA